AGUGAACGCUGGCGGCGUGCCUAAUACAUGCAAGUCGAACGGACAAGUAAGAGCUUGCUCUUAUGAGUUAGUGGCGCACGGGUGAGUAAUGUAUAGCUAAUCUGCCCUACACUAGAGGACAACAGUCGGAAACGGCUGCUAAUACUCUAUACUCCUGUCUUACAUAAGUUAGAUAGGGAAAGUUUUUCGGUGUAGGAUGAGGCUAUAUUGUAUCAGCUAGUUGGUGAGGUAAUGGCUCACCAAGGCUAUGACGCAUAACUGGUCUGAGAGGAUGAUCAGUCACACUGGAACUGAGACACGGUCCAGACUCCUACGGGAGGCAGCAGUAGGGAAUAUUGCUCAAUGGGGGAAACCCUGAAGCAGCAACGCCGCGUGGAGGAUGACACUUUUCGGAGCGUAAACUCCUUUUGUUAGGGAAGAACAAUGACGGACCUAACGAUAGCCCC
rnacentral:rRNA from 1 species